AGGCACCUACAAAAGGCCACCGAAGAUGCAGUCAAUUAAAGAAAGAAAUUAUGCUGAUGACGCUGAUGACGACAUGAGUGAUGUUUCUGGCAGUGAAUAUGGCGAUGGAGGGGUGUGCCAUAAGACAGUUAAGAAGACUGUCAAGAAAAAAAAGACAAUGUUGGGAAGACAUGGAUUGGUCUAUGACGCAUCUUUCACACAUGUCCAAGAACAACCAUCAACAUCAGGGAGCGCCACCAAACGAAAGAGGAUUGCAACACUUACACAUGACGACGAUGAUGUUGAAGACAGCGAUGAAGAGGACAAAAAGACUGGACACAGAUCUCUUGGGAAGAAGAAGACAGCAGUUCGAAAAGAACAUAGUGAAGUUGAAUUGGAAACUAAAAAAAGGAAGAGACCCGGACUCCAAAGGAAAGAGCAGCAAUUGAUCGACACCUUUCAAAAUUUGUUGCAUUAAAGAAAGUUCCAAGGAAAGAUGACUGCGUUAAGUGUCGUAGUCAAGCAUCGCCAGACCUUGAAGACCGCACAUGGAGAGAUAUUCCACAAUGAAAUUAUUAAAAGAUAUGUAAUUGGGAAAAAAGCUUGAAGAUGAAAGAUGAGAGAGGGAGAGACAUAGGGGGGAGAUAGAUGAAGGGAGAGAGGGAAUGGGAUGAGAGAGAGGGGAGAAA